rnacentral:rRNA from 1 species
GAUGAACGCUGGCGGCGUGCCUAACACAUGCAAGUCGAGCGGAGUCAAUUGUUGAUUCUUCGGAUGAUUUGAUUGACUUAGCGGCGGAUGGGUGAGUAACACGUGGGUAAUCUGCCCUGCACUGGGGGAUAACAGUUGGAAACGACUGUUAAUACCGCAUAUGCACACGGGGCCGCAUGGCCCCGGGUGGAAAGAUUUAUCGGUGCAGGAUGAGCCCGCGUCGGAUUAACUAGUUGGCAGGGUAACGGCCUACCAAGGUGAUGAUCCGUAGCCGGCCUGAGAGGGCGACCGGCCACAUUGGGACUGAGACACGGCCCAAACUCC